AUUGAACGCUGGCGGAAUGCUUUACACAUGCAAGUCGAGCGGCAGCGCGGGGGGCAACCCUGGCGGCGAGCGGCGAACGGGUGAGUAAUACAUCGGAACGUGUCCUUAAGUGGGGAUAGCUCGGCGAAAGCCGGAUUAAUACCGCAUAAGCUCUGAGGAGGAAAGCGGGGGCUCCGUAAGGACCUCGCGCUGUUGGAGCGGCCGAUGUCGGAUUAGCUAGUUGGUGGGGUAAAGGCCCACCAAGGCGACGAUCCGUAGCUGGUCUGAGAGGAUGAUCAGCCACACUGG
rnacentral:rRNA from 1 species